CAGCAUUUAGACACCUGCCAAUUUACCAGGAAAGAAGGCAGUUUAAAAGUUUCACCUCCCAUUUACAGAUGAGGAAACGGAAACUUACUGAGGUUACCCAAGGCCAUUCAGGUAUGAAGACAAGCCUGAGUCUGUUUGCCUCUGCUGAAGAAACCACUGUACAAUAGCAUCUACCUGUGACAUACCAAAAGGCCUUGCACUGUGAUGGUUCCUGCCUCCACAGACUCUUGAGUCUUGAAUAAUGUGUUUCCGCCAAUUCUCAGCUACAGGAAGACCCUCUCCAGAUGCCAGUGCCAUACUCUUGGACUCUGCAGCC
rnacentral:lncRNA from 10 species